AACUCGCCUACAUGAAGUCGGAGUUGCUAGUAAUCGCGGAUCAGAAUGCCGCGGUGAAUGCGUUCCCGGGUCUUGUACACACCGCCCGUCACACCAUGGAAGUUGGGGGCGCCCGAAGUUGCCUAAGAAAUAAGGUACCUAAGGCGAAACCAAUGACUGGGGUGAAGUCGUAACAAGGUACC
rnacentral:rRNA from 1 species